AUUGAACGCUGGCGGUAUGCCUUACACAUGCAAGUCGAACGGUAGAGGGGCAACCCUUGAGAGUGGCGAACGGGUGAGUAAUACAUCGGAACGUGCCCAGUCGUGGGGGAUAACGUAGCGAAAGCUGCGCUAAUACCGCAUACGACCUGAGGGUGAAAGCGGGGGAUCUUCGGACCUCGCGCGAUUGGAGCGGCCGAUGGCAGAUUAGGUAGUUGGUGGGGUAAAGGCCUACCAAGCCUGCGAUCUGUAGCUGGUCUGAGAGGACGACCAGCCACACUGGGACUGAGACACGGCCCAGACUCCUACGGGAGGCAGCAGUGGGGAAUUUUGGACAAUGGGCGCAAGCCUGAUCCAGCCAUACCGCGUGCGGGAAGAAGGCCUUCGGGUUGUAAACCGCUUUUGUCAGGGAAGAAAUCUUCUGGGCUAAUACCUCGGGAGGAUGACGGUACCUGAAGAAUAAGCACCGGCUAACUACGUGCCAGCAGCCGCAGUAAAAC
rnacentral:rRNA from 1 species